AGAAGAAGAAAGUUUUGAUGAGGUGGAAGAGGAUGAUGAGAUGGAUUUUUAGGAGAAUGGCUGAACUUUUUUAAUUUUUUUUUUGUUUUUAAAAGAUUGUAUUAAAAUUUGGAAUGAUUUUGAAUUGAUUUUAAUUGUUAGGAGUAGGAGUAAUAAUAUAUUAUUAGUUGUUUUGUUUAAAUUUCCUAUCUAGGAAUCCUACAUGGAAG
rnacentral:lncRNA from 1 species